rnacentral:misc_RNA from 1 species
UUUUGCUUGAAUUUCUUUGAGGCGAUAUCGUUGUAACAUUGUAAUUUUUCUUCGUGUAACAAGAACAUAAGAAUUAAUUCAAUUUCCGCUGAAGGUAUAGGCUUAUUUCAUAGGCGCUAUUUACCAAAAUCUUAGAAUGAAUUUAGACCGAUACUGAUAUUUUAUAGGCGCUAUUUACCAAAAUCUUAGAAUGAAUUUAGACCGAUACUGAUAUUUUAGAAUUUAAAUGUUUAAUACGGGUAGCUUU